rnacentral:misc_RNA from 1 species
UGGCUGCUUGUACUAGUCCAGCCUAGUGCUGGUUUGAAAGAGCUUGUCCAUUGAAGCACCACGGCGCAGUUCAACAUGAAUACCCUACCUGGACACAGUGUACUAACUCUGAGGUGACUAGACUUUGUUUUAUCACCUUAAUGACCAGCGCCAGGUAGUAUAUGUGCUGAUAUGUGUGUAUGUUGGCAUCAGUUGUAAGUUAAAACCUAUACCACGUGGGAUUAUAUGUUUACUUUAAUUAUUGCAUGUCCCAUAAAGCCCACGUUGUAUGUGUGUCUACAGUCAAAUGAUACUACAUUAUGACACAUCCAUUUUAAUUUCCGUGUUUUCUGCGUGUAAUAAUUCGUAUUCAUUAUGACACAUUCAUUUUAAUUUCCGUGUUUUCUGUGUGAAAUUAUUCGUAUUUAUUAUAGGUCUAUACGCAUACAUUGGGAUUCCGUUGAAUUUAAUUUCGAAACUAAUGUCAUUGCUUGUCAACGGGUCCAAAUGCGGUUGUAUAUCAAGGGUAAUUUUUGCCUGACGAGUACAGUACACUGUCAAUCAGUCAAGCAGGGCUGUGCUUCUAAAACACUGUUACCUGGAGAGAAACUGUGCUAUGUCAUAUACUGACACUGAACUAUAAGUGCACAGUAACCUCACCAAAAUGCUUGACUAUACACGAAUUCAUUUUUUGCAAGAGCGAACAUUUACAAAAUAAAACUGUUGAACAUUAUGUUACAUUACAAAAACAAUGUUACAUGCGAGUUAUGUCCCUAAACAUAUUUUUAAUAACCAACGAUUGACUUUGAAUCUACGUUUAAAACCUAUGGCCCAUAAAAGGUAAUUUCCUCUUAUUGACCAAGCAAGUUGUUUGAAACUCCAUGUCGCCUGUUAAGAAGAAAUAAUUUCCUCCACACACCCAUAUAGCUAGUGUGUUUCAAUGAAGGAAGUUAUAACUUCCUCACUUCCAAGCUUCACGGUCACAAGACACAUUCAGACGUUGUACACUGAGAUCCUGGGGAGGUGGAGCUCGGCCACUAACAGUGAUAUGGCACCGAUGGCAGUUCUGUGCGUAGCGUGCAUGAUGGUGUACACUCGUGCUGCCAAAUGCAAAGGACACCAACACUGUUCAGACUGUGGCAGCACUACAGGACAUUGCAUCUCUGAGUGUGAACCUGGGUAUUUUGAUCAGAAGUGUAGUUCUAUUUGCAACGAAAAUUGUCGAAACAAGAAAUGUAAACUGUCAAUUAAUGGCAAUGCUAAUUGCACUGAAGGUUGUGUCCUGGGAUACCAAGGCCCGGGGUGUAGCAGGCCAUGUUACAACCCAGGAGGUGUUUGUACAGAAUGUCCAGGUGGUUGUGAUAGAGGAUAUUGUCAGCUGGGCUCCUGUGUGUUUGGAUGUGUAGACUCUUACUUUGGGUCUGGCUGCAAGACAUGUCACAGAGGAUGUAAGACAUGCAACAGCAUAACAGGAACAUGCACGGAGUGUCAUCCUUCAUUUCCCGGUCCAAACUGUGAACAGGAGACGAACACUACCAGAGGUUGUGAAGGUGGUUGUGUACCUGGACAUAUAGACAGAGACUGCAAACAUUGUUCUGACAAAUGUCUCAAUAAGACCUGUCCCCCUAAGAACGAACCCUUUGAUAAACGAUGUAAUCCAGGAUUCUAUUGUGAACACUGCAACAAGACGUGUGGUGUGUGUAUUGAUGGAGACUGUGAUCAGAUGUCAGGGAUGUGCUUCAGAGGGUGUAACAGGACCAAACUUGGAUGUGAACCUUCCUGUAGAGCCAACUGUACUUUAGCUGAAUGUGACAUUGACACAUGUCCACAAGAUGGGAAUGACGAUCAGAAGACAGGCAGUGUGCUGACUUGGUUGUUGGCAUCACUGCUUCUCCUUGUAUCAGGCAUCUUGCUGACACUCUGUCUCUGUUACUGCAAGCGUUUCCCCAAACAAAGGUGGGUGUGUUGCCAUCACUUCUACUCCCUGUGUCGGGCAUCUUGCUGACACUCUGCCUCUGUUACUGCAAGCGUUUCCCCAAACAAAGGUGGGUGUGUUGCCAUCACUGCUUCUCCUUGUGUCGGGCAUCUUGCUGACACUCUGUCUCUGUUACUGCAAGCGUUUCCCCAAACAAAGGGAACCGGAGGAGCACCAGGAUCAGAUGCAGCAAGAUGAGGUUGAGUAUCUGCAGUAUUUACCUACAGUACAGGGAGAUGCACUUAAUACUAACCGUCAUUCGAAUCAUGCCUAUUAUGACGUUAUCGAUGGCGAGAAGGGUCCCGCCAUUGUGUUCCUGUGACCGCUGAUUAUAUGUAACCUCUUUUAUGUUGUAUGACUUAUCUAAACACAACUGUUCACUGUCUAUUGAGCUAUCAAUUCUACUUUUUUCAAGCGCCAGGUCGCGCUAGUUGUUGAUGGCGUUGCUUUGUCGGUUUUAUCAGUGGUGAUCUUCUGUUUGUUAUUACGCCUUCAUUUAGAUGACUCUGUCCCCAAAGUAUACGGCACUCUACUACAACAGCAACGUUAAAAACACGUGAAGUAUAUAUGGUGAGCUUCACAUCAAUCAGGAUGCCAUGAACGUUGAUGCCACUACCCUAUACAGUAUACGUCUUUACUACCAUCUGAUAAUACGUGUGUCUAUCAGCAAUGUUUAUAUGAAACCAAAGUCGUUGUUAUCAUUAAACGUGUAUAGAAUGCUAUUUGUAUUGUGUUAACAAUUGUCACAGUCACGAAAGACGAGCAGCAUCAUGGCUGCAGCACCUUGCUGAAAGUAAACUUGUGUCGGUUCGGGUCAAUGAUGUGUCUGUUUAUACUAAUAUGCCUUAAAUUUGCAAAUAGUGCACACUAAGUUUUACUUUUCUGAAAAGGUUGAACAAAAUCAGGUGUGAUAUAUUUGUACAUUAUAGUAUUAAACAUUCUACACUGUA